GCGUCUCUCCCAAAUCCGGAACAAAAAAAGUCUAGAACAAACACGGAAUCUAAGUUCUAGUUUAGAACAAAAAAAGAAAAAACCCAGUGAAUGGGCGGUGAAUAUCCACCGAGAUAGCUACGCCUCGUACGCUGGGCACUAUCCGAUGCUGGCCUACUUUGCCGUUGCUGAAAACGAAUUCAUUGGGAGAGAGCGCUACAAUUUCAUGCAGGAUCAAAGGGUCGGGAAAGGUAUUUGAGACGAUGAUGAAAGUUUUCUGAGUCUCAAGCCCGAAUAAACCUGCUCUGAUAUCAUCUUAAAGAUGGUAAUCAAGAGUUAGGCGAUUCAUAGGGCAAUUCGAAAAUAAGAGAGCUUUGGAGGAAGAUGAUUCUUGUAUAUUUUCUUGUGUGUUAUGUCUCUCGGCCACUCCCUUAUUAUAUAGGGAAGAUUACAAUGUAAACUUGGCCUUUGGUAUGUUCUUGUUUUGGUAUGUUUGACAAAGUCUUAUUCGGAACACUCCUAACUGAAAGGGUUAUCAGGAGAUGGUGCAGCUUAAUGCUUAAAAAUACUACUCGUUUAUUCAUUGAGCUCUGGAGCAAUCAGAUUUGCUUGUGUUGAACUUUUAUAUCAUCUAGCACUUCAUGUUUUCUAUGAUAUUUACAGAGAUUGUAUGUAGCUGGUUUUGUAUCAAAGUUUGUACUAAUAUUUUGUGAAUUCCCAACUUGUGUACAGAAAAUGCUUUUGCCAUGUGCUCUGUAAAUGUUACUGUUGCUGCGAGGAAAAUGCGAUCUCAAGGAUUAAAACUUCUCGUCCUAGAGAAACGGAUGAUGUUGGAAUGCUUGGAUAUUGUGUGAUGAAUGCAGCUUGAAGGCAACGGGGUGAGGAGCAGAAGAUCUUCGCAGAGGGAUCAUUGUUAAUAAUCUUGUUCGAUUUCACCAUUUCAAGAAUGGCCACAAGUCUUGUGUUUCGCAGUCCGAGCAAGGCAUGUUGAAUCACCAUGGUGAAUUUUGCAGCUCAUUUCUACUUGAUAAGUAAAUGAACUAGUCUCAAUGUGAGAUGUUUUACAACCAUACAAAUGUUAUGCAGCAUCUGAAAACAAACAAGUCUUAAAUUUUAACUACUAUUUCUCUGAUAAUCUUAUGGCAUCCAUAUGGUGACAAUAAAGGGCAUGGCCAGCAAAAAAAAAAUUCUUUUA